UAUUUGACAAUGGGGGCAACCCUUAUCCAGCCAUGCCGCGUGUGUGAAGAAGGCCUUUCGGUUGUAAAGAACUUUAAGCAGUGAAGAAGACUCUUUGGUUAAUACCCAUAGACGAUGGCAUUAGCUGCAGAAUAAGCACCGGCUAACUCUGUGCCAGCAGCCGCGGUAAUACAGAGGGUGCAAGCGUUAAUCGGAAUUACUGGGCGUAAAGCGAGCGUAGGUGGCUUAAUAAGUCAGAUGUGAAAUCCCCGGGCUUAACCUGGGAACUGCAUCUGAUACUGUUGGGCUAGAGUAGGUGAGAGGGAGGUAGAAUUUCAGGUGUAGCGGUGAAAUGCGUAGAGAUCUGAAAGAAUACCGAUGGCGAAGGCAGCCUCCUGGCAUCAUACUGACACUGAGGUUCGAAAGCGUGGGUAGCAAACAG
rnacentral:rRNA from 1 species